rnacentral:rRNA from 1 species
CUACGGGUCGCUGCAGUGGGGAAUAUUGCACAAUGGGCGCAAGCCUGAUGCAGCCAUGCCGCGUGUAUGAAGAAGGCCUUCGGGUUGUAAAGUACUUUCAGCGGGGAGGAAGGGAGUAAAGUUAAUACCUUUGCUCAUUGACGUUACCCGCAGAAGAAGCACCGGCUAACUCCGUGCCAGCAGCCGCGUUAAUACGGAGGGUGCAAGCGUUAAUCGGAAUUACUGGGCGUAAAGCGCACGCAGGCGGUUUGUUAAGUCAGAUGUGAAAUCCCCGGGCUCAACCUGGGAACUGCAUCUGAUACUGGAAAGCUUGAGUCUCGUAGAGGGGGGUAGAAUUCCAGGUGUAGCGGUGAAAUGCGUAGAGAUCUGGAGGAAUACCGGUGGCGAAGGCGGCCCCCUGGACGAAGACUGACGCUCAGGUGCGAAAGCGUGGGGAGCAAACAGGAUUAGAUACCCUGGUAGUC